UUUUGUUUACCCGAUAGAUAUAAAUGUGGUUGCCAUAAUGCCAUUCAUGGGAUUCUUUAGUAGAGCUGACAAAGACUAGCACAAAUGAUGUUAUCUUGCUGUAGGUUCAUGGAGUAGAUGUCAUCGAAAAGGUGAUAUCUCUUCAGAGAACUAAGGACACGAGGGGAAUGAGGCUGGAGGCUGCCUGGGGAAAGAUUUCAAAGCAGGCAGAACAGAAAGUGCAAAACUUCUGAAGGACUAUUUUGCUGGGGGUUUUGAAGAACAGCAAGGAGGCUGAGAUCUGCUGAAGUGAGGGGAGACGAGAUUAGAUCAGAGCGGUAAAGGGAACACAGAACUUCUAUUGUAUUGCUGCAGACCUCUGUAAAGAUUUCACCUACACUCUGAGGACAAUGGAGAACAAAUGAGAGGUGUUCAGAAGAGGAUUGACCUGGUCUGCACAUCUUUCAAAAGAAGCACUGUGGCUGCAGAUGUGAGGCAUGAACUAUGGCUGGGAUGGGAGAAAACAUCCCUGUGUGGCAGAAACCUUUGUGCUCAACUGGUAACCUAAAGGUUGAUGAUAUGAGUGCACCAAAAAUUGCCACAGAACAAAGGACUGGUGAUCUUCUUCCAUAGAAAUAAAGAUUCUUCAGUGAGCAGCCAAUCAGUUGAAAGGGAGUUUCUGUGGGGACGUGGCCUGCAUCUGAAGAUAAGCAGGUGUUCCGGCUUUUUGCUCACACUGGAUCCUGCAACAGCCUCCUGUUCAUCAGACCUCCAGAUCUUGGCACUUGAGCUAUCAGCUUAUCUGCAAAUCUUGGUAUUCCUCAAUCUUCAGAGCCUGAGAGCAGGAGCCCUGCUCUCUGACCUGCCAGUAUUGGAUUUCCCAGCCCUGUGGCCACAUGAAUCGAGAGAAGCCUCUAUCCUGAUCCAUGGAUUUUGUGACAUUCCACCCUCUACGGUCACACGAGCCAUUUCCUUGAUAUAAAUCUCUCUGUAUAUAUAUUUAUACGCUUUACUGGUUUUGCUUCUCUAGACAUCACAGCCUAAGACCUUUAGAACCAAGAGUGGUUCUAGAGAAACAAAAUUGUAAGGAUGAGUUUCCUAAAUUGGUUCUCAAGUCUGGUUAAUCUUAAAGAUGUUGAUGAUUCUGCUUCCAACAUUGAGGACGGCACUGCUAAUCCAUGGCAUGAGGUGGCCAUACAAUUACACAAAAUAUCAUCACCAGAAGAUCAGGUAUUUGUUAAAGGCAAAGAUCCAGGUGAACAUGUGUGAUAUCUUUCUACAGUUUUGUCAGAAUGAGAAGUAUAAGGAAGCUGGUUGGUUGGUCCUACUUUUGCUAGACAAACUAGUGAAAGAAGGAGAUGUAUUCAGGGCUUGAGAGUCAAAGCUAAAGCAAAAAUGACCUUAAGGUUUCCUCUUGUGCUUUGAAACAAAGUCUUGUUUCUUGUAGUAACAGAGUUGAAAUUAGUGAAAACCAACCCCAGAACCUUACUGUAAGAGUGGCUGAAUUAGAAGGUCAAUUCAAUUGCCAACCUCAAGAGGUUUCUGAAGUUAAAGGCAUUUGUUGGGAAGAAAUGGGAUCCUGAAACUUGGGAUGGGGGCAUACGGACAGAUAAUCAGAAAGCUAGAGAUACCAAGCACCUAAAUUCCCUUGAAUCACUGCUGCCAGCAGAACCACUUCCAUCUGAAGGGAUUACUUCAUGUUUGUCACCUAAACUAUGCUGCCCAAAAAACACCAUUAGCCCCUCCAUUCCCAUCUAAUAAGAGUAGCCCUACUCCAACUGACUCUAAAAAGCCUUGCCCAAGUCCUUGUCUGGGACAUUGCCUGAGGCAGAUGCUGUACAACAAAAUGCUAAAUGUUCUCAAAACAAUUUCACACUAGCAAUUCUGGCUUCUAGACCUAUAAUUAGACUUAAGUCCCAGCUACCCCCAAGAGUAAAGUACAAAGUAUGACCCAGUAGGGGGUACACUACACUCCAAAGGAACUGCUUGAAUUUUCUAUGCACCAAGAGAAACCUGGGGAAUAUGUGUGGGAAUGGCUAUUAAGGGCAUGGGAUAAUGGUGCAAGAACAUAAAGAUAGAUCAGGCUGAGUCUGUUGAUAUGGUCCAGGAAUCACAGAUGCUUCAUCCAAUGUUUCAGCUUGAAAAUUUAGGAAAGGAUCUAACAGUUUAUUUGGUUGGGUUGCCGGACCAUGGAUUACCAGGUGGCCUACAAUAAAUCAAGUUGAAAUACCAGUCCUGCCUUAAUAUAUGGUUUGUAAAUCAGAUUUGACAGGGGGAACUGCCCUGGCUGAAUUUAGACACCUAACUACAAUGGGGCUGAAUGGACCCCAUGAGAGCAGGGGUCAAGUGGCUAUACUCAAUAGACAAAGACAGGGUGGGCAUGGUUAGAGUUAUGGACAGCAGAAUCAAAGCAGGAAUCAGUCUAGUCUGAAUCCUAGGAAAUGAUGACGUUGGCUCCUCAGUCAUGGAGUCCCUGAGAGUGAAAUAGAUAGGAAAUCUACUAAAUAUUUACUUGGUCUGUACAAACAGAUAAAAUCUAGAUCAGGUGAACAGCAGUCUAACUCAAAUCACCAGAACACAGAGUCAUGGUCCCUCAAUCAAUUCUCGGAUUCCAGCGAGUUU